AUUCAUGAGAUCUGCGCACUUUAUUUGCCAUGCUACUGCUCUGAUUUGGCUCAAUAUUUAAUCUUUUAUAUGUGUUUGAACCAAGGUAGAUGAAGUCUAUGACCAUUUAGGAAGCUUAGAAAAACGUUGUGUUUAGGAAAUUAACUGCAUUCAGUACUGAUGGGGUGUCGCGGCCCACACAAAUUUGAUUGCAUAUGAGAAAUGCAGCAUAGCUAGGAAGUGACUCCUAGGUCGUCUCUCAAGGACCAACUGCGAUUCAGAAAUUUAGGUCAAACACACACAAUGGGGGGAUUUGAAGGUGUUUUUGUGAAUGGAAUUAGACUAAAUUAAAACACGCAAAUUAAACCUAACUAACAGUAUUGAAACGGUUGAAUACGAAAGCUAACAUUACGAUUAAAUUAUCACAACUAAAAAUAGAAAACAUUAAAGUAAAAGAAAAUGUUAAACCUAACAUUGUAACAAACAAAUAUCUAAGCACAGUUAAAACUAUUAAAAUGCAACACUAAAUUAGGAAGAUGAAAAACAACUCAAAACACAAAGCAAAAUAUUUAAAAGCACAAGAAAUAAGACAACACAAUUUCUUUUUACCCCUAGCCGUGACCUCCCUUUGCCUUUAAAAGUUGGGAAAAUACAUUCCUUUCCUUUCCCACAAUUCAACGUCAGCACACACCUCCCAAGAGCAAAAGUCGCGUUACUAAUUGCUAAAACUCAAGUGAUGAAAUUCAUUUCUUCCAAGGUGUGAAUGUCUGUGUGCACCUAUUCUUCAAAACCUAACCAAGCCAAGAACCAAUGCAUCCAGAUAUAUGUUCAGCUGGCAACAGAAUCAGCCCCACCAAAUGAAAUAAAAUAGAAAAGAAAAUGUGUACUUCCAUCCAUCAUCACGUAUCAGAUUCUACUACAACCUAUUCUACUUAUUGUUCCAACGUGCUCUUCCAUCCUAUUGACAAGACCACUACAACUUAUGCAAAUUCUAAAUUGAAAACCUAACUAAAAGAUUAAGACUUGCUGCACGGCUAGUCACACAUUCCUCCCACACAAUUGAAAAUCCGAAAAAUAAAAGCUUGUUUUCUUUUUCUUCCAACCGUGACACCACUUUCUCUAAGCAAUGAAUGAAAAUUUCUUCUAACCAAAUAAACCACCGUACACUCUCACCUACUCCUAUCUAAUAACUUCUUCAUUCUUCAAGGUAAUUAAAAAAAUGAAUCUCUACACACACCUACUACAGCCAAGCGUCCCAUCACUCCACCUAAUUCACUCUUUAAUUUCAUGAAAGCAAAGAAACCACUGCACCAUUUUUCCAUUUCAAAAUGAAAAAGAAACUUUAUGCCUUCCUUUCUCCACACCGUGACAGCAGCUCUCUCCUAUUCCCUUUUUCUUUUAUUCCAACUUAGAAGCAAACCCUUAACCCUUUGUAGCUCCUAUUGCAGGAUGAUGUGAUGAAAGUUGUUGGAUCAAAACAAGCAAAGAUAGUACCCCGUGAAAGUGUAUACUAACAAGCUAAGAAACAUUCCAGCAAAGACAAUUGAAAGCAAAGUUGUGUCUCUUCAUUCAACCCAUGAGCACAUUGUAAUAUCUCCCAAAAUAUUCAAAGAAAAAACAAAGUAAAAAUAAUGUUCCAGAGCACCAGAACCCGAGAAGAAGUCUGAAAGAUAAUAAGUGACGGCUGGCUAAGAGCCCUAGGCCGUGAGUGUCAUAAAAAAAAUGGGUGGGGUCCACCCUAAAGAAACCCUAGUGGCAUGUGUCCUACCCUACAAUUGGGCCCAUCAUGCGUAGCCGUGUUUAAGUCGAAGGCGAUAGAGAUUCCCGUGUUUACUGAGCUAUAUCUCUAUCUAUUAGUUAGCNGGCUUAAAGAGUUUAGACUCACGAUACCGAUAAAGCAAGCCGAUCAUAGACGGAGGUUGAAGCUUGAAUUGAAGUGUCCGCCCUAAGGUGAAUCAGAUGUUCGAACGAGACUGUUCAGGAACAUGGAUUGUGGGCCCAAUAUUACAAAGCUUGAUUUAAAACGCCUAAUCUACUAAAUUGAAAUUUGACUAAUUCUAAAGUGUCUUUGUGGAGAGUCUUGAAUAAAUUGAUGUCUUCCAUAAUGUCCAAAAUUGUAUCUCCAAAAUUUUCCUGCAAUAAAUAAUGCAAUUAAUUAGCUCAGAAAAUUUAAAUUAAUUAAAAUUAGAAUUUUCG
rnacentral:lncRNA from 1 species